GACGUAGGAGGCAAGCGUUAUCCGGAGUUACUGGGCGUAAAGCGCGUGUAGGCGGAUUGGUAAGUGGUUCGUGAAAGAGCCGGGCUAAACCCGGAAGGUGCGAAUCAGACUGCUAGUCUGGAGGCGGGUAGAGGGGUGCGGAAUUCCGGGUGUAGCGGUGAAAUGUGUAGAUAUCCGGAGGAACACCAGAGGUGCAGACGGCGCCCUGGGCCCGACCUGACGCUGAGACGCGAAAGCUUGGGGAGCGAACGGG
rnacentral:rRNA from 1 species